GCUGACAGUACAAGUGGUUGUACUCCAUUUGCUUAUUAUUGUGGUGAAAAUGGCAACAAUUUUGUGACCAUAACCGAUUGUCAAACAUCAUGUGGAGUGGUUACAACAGCUUGUACAUCUGCGCCCUGUUUGAAUGGUGGAGCUUGCUCAGUAACAUCUAUUGGGUAUUCCUGUAGUUGCCUAUCUGGUUACACUGGAACCCGAUGUGAGACUGUGGUUACAACAGCCUGUGCA